UACGUAGGGCGCAAGCGUUGUCCGGAAUUAUUGGGCGUAAAGAGCUCGUAGGCGGUUUGUCGCGUCUGCUGUGAAAACCUAAGGCUCAACCUUGGGCUUGCAGUGGGUACGGGCAGACUAGAGUGCGGUAGGGGUGACUGGAAUUCCUGGUGUAGCGGUGGAAUGCGCAGAUAUCAGGAGGAACAUCGAUGGCGAAGGCAGGUCACUGGGCCGCAACUGACGCUGAGGAGCGAAAGCAUGGGGAGCGAACAGG
rnacentral:rRNA from 1 species